ensembl:snRNA U7 U7 small nuclear RNA
UAGUGUUACAGCUCUUUUAGAAUUUGUCUAGCAGGUUUUCUGGCUUUUACCGGAACCCCCCC